UACGAAGGGGGCUAGCGUUGUUCGGAAUUACUGGGCGUAAAGCGCGCGCAGGCGGUUCUUUUAAGUCAGGGGUGAAAGCCCAGAGCUCAACUCUGGAAUUGCCUUUGAAACUAGAGAACUUGGGUACGGGAGAGGUGAGUGGAAUUCCGAGUGUAGAGGUGAAAUUCGUAGAUAUCGGGAGGAACACCUGUGGCGAAAGCGGCUCACUGGACCACAACUGACGCUGAGGCGCGAAAGCUAGGGGAGCAAACAGG
rnacentral:rRNA from 1 species